GCCGCGGUAAUACGUAGGGUGCGAGCGUUAAUCGGAAUUACUGGGCGUAAAGCGUGCGCAGGCGGUUUUGUAAGACAGAUGUGAAAUCCCCGGGCUUAACCUGGGAACUGCAUUUGUGACUGCAAGACUAGAGUGUGUCAGAGGGAGGUGGAAUUCCGCGUGUAGCAGUGAAAUGCGUAGAGAUGCGGAAGAACACCGAUGGCGAAGGCAGCCUCCUGGGAUAACACUGACGCUCAGGCACGAAAGCGUGGGGAGCAAACAGGAUUAGAUACCCUGGUAGUCCACGCCCUAAACGAUGUCAACUGGUUGUUGGGGAUUCAUUUCCUUAGUAACGUAGCUAACGCGUGAAGUUGACCGCCUGGGGAGUACGGCCGCAAGGUUAAAACUCAAAGGAAUUGACGGGGACCCGCACAAGCGGUGGAUGAUGUGGAUUAAUUCGAUGCAACGCGAAAAACCUUACCUACCCUUGACAUGUCGAGAACUUUUCAGAGAUGGAUUGGUGCCCGAAAGGGAACUCGAACACAGGUGCUGCAUGGCUGUCGUCAGCUCGUGUCGUGAGAUGUUGGGUUAAGUCCCGCAACGAGCGCAACCCUUGUCCUUAGUUGCUACGCAAGAGCACUCUAAGGAUACUGCCGGUGACAAACCGGAGGAAGGUGGGGAUGACGUCAAGUCCUCAUGGCCCUUAUGGGUAGGGCUUCACACGUCAUACAAUGGUCGGUACAGAGGGUCGCCAACCCGCGAGGGGGAGCCAAUCCCAUAAAACCGAUCGUAGUCCGGAUUGCAGUCUGCAACUCGACUGCAUGAAGUCGGAAUCGCUAGUAAUCGCGGAUCAGCAUGUCGCGGUGAAUACGUUCCCGGGUCUUGUACACACCGCCCGUCACACCAUGGGAGUGGGUUUUACCAGAAGUAGUUAGCCUAACCGCAAGGGGGGCGAUUACCACGGUAGGUCUCAUGACUGGGGUGAAGUCGUAACAAGGUAGCCGUACCGGAAGGUGCGGCUGGAUCACCUCCUUUC
rnacentral:rRNA from 1 species